rnacentral:rRNA from 1 species
AGUCGAGCGAAUCUUUGGGAGCUUGCUCCCAUUGGUUAGCGGCGGACGGGUGAGUAACACGUGGGCAACCUGCCUGUAAGACUGGGAUAACUUCGGGAAACCGGAGCUAAUACCGGAUAAUUCUUUUCCUCUCAUGAGGAAAAGCUGAAAGUCGGUUUACGCUGACACUUACAGAUGGGCCCGCGGCGCAUUAGCUAGUUGGUGAGGUAACGGCUCACCAAGGCGACGAUGCGUAGCCGACCUGAGAGGGUGAUCGGCCACACUGGGACUGAGACACGGCCCAGACUCCUACGGGAGGCAGCAGUAGGGAAUCUUCCACAAUGGACGAAAGUCUGAUGGAGCAACGCCGCGUGAGCGAUGAAGGCCUUCGGGUCGUAAAGCUCUGUUGUUAGGGAAGAACAAGUACCGGAGUAACUGCCGGUACCUUGACGGUACCUAACCAGAAAGCCACGGCUAACUACGUGCCAGCAGCCGCGGUAAUACGUAGGUGGCAAGCGUUGUCCGGAAUUAUUGGGCGUAAAGCGCGCGCAGGCGGUCCUUUAAGUCUGAUGUGAAAGCCCACGGCUCAACCGUGGAGGGUCAUUGGAAACUGGGGGACUUGAGUGCAGAAGAGGAAAGCGGAAUUCCACGUGUAGCGGUGAAAUGCGUAGAGAUGUGGAGGAACACCAGUGGCGAAGGCGGCUUUCUGGUCUGUAACUGACGCUGAGGCGCGAAAGCGUGGGGAGCAAACAGGAUUAGAUACCCUGGUAGUCCACGCCGUAAACGAUGAGUGCUAAGUGUUAGGGGGUUUCCGCCCCUUAGUGCUGCAGCUAACGCAUUAAGCACUCCGCCUGGGGAGUACGGC